CGGGGAGUAGCGCAGCCUGGUUAGCGCGCAGCGUUCGGGACGCUGAGGCCGGAGGUUCGAAUCCUCUCUCCCCGA
rnacentral:tRNA from 1 species